rnacentral:pre_miRNA from 10 species
UUUCUGGAGAAGACAGUGCUAAUUACAGUCAGUUUUGCAGGUUUGCAUCCCAGCUUACUAAAAUUGCUGUGCAAAUCCAUGCAAAACUGACUGUGGUGGUGGUGAAUCUGUGGUGAAUAA